GCGUCCAUAGCUCAGCUGGUAGAGCAGAUCCCUCUUAAGGAUAAGGUCCCAGGUUCGAUCCCUGGUGGACGCA
rnacentral:tRNA from 1 species